CUCUGACCAACAGGACGGGCCUCUGCCCCCGCCCCUGUCUGCUGGUGGCCUCACCUUCCCAGGUCAAGGGCCCCAUGCUGGGCUCAGCCAGCCAGGCUGGGGGCCCUGUGCUCAGCAGUAGGCGCCAGUUCUGCCCAUCCUCUCUGGAGCAGUGGGUUUGGGUUACUGAAGCCUUUUCUCAAGUGCCAACGUUAACCUUUCUUAGUGGAUAUCUAGAGCCUUCUGAGGCCACAGCCAGGCUCAUGGAAGGAGUGGAAAUCACUGCACAGUGUCUGCCGAGGGUUCAGAAAUGUGGACAGAACUGCCGUCCUCGCCUGGUGAUGUUCUGCUGCCUCUUUGGGAGCCAGGCCUUGCCCCUCCUGCCUCUCAUUCUCAGCUUUGAGUGGGAGCCUUUCAGUGGAGACCUGAAUCCUAAAGAAGCCUAGGAACCAUGGACCCCAUUCUGCUACGGAUACCAAGCACUUGUCCACACUGGCAAGAUGGGGGGUAGCCAGGAUACCUCACCUCCCAGCCCCUCCUUAGUGGGAUUCCACGCCCUUCGUCUGACAUAGGAAUUAGACAGUUCUCCACACCACUGCUUCCCUGGUAGCUCAGUUGGUAAAGAAUCUGCCUGCAAUGCAGGAGACCCCCUGUUCGAUUCCUGGGUCAGGAAGGUCCGCUGGAAAAGGGAUAGCUACCCACUCCAGUAUUCUUGGGCUUCCCUGGUGGCUCAGCUAGUAAAGAAUCCACCUGCAAUGUGGGAGACCUGGGUUCAAUCCCUGGGUUUGGAAGAUCCCCUGGAGGAAGGGAAUGGCUACCUACCCACUCCAGGAUUCUGGCCUGGAGAAUUCCUUGGACUGUAUAGUCCAUGGGAUCAGAGUCGGACAUGACUGAGCAACUUUCAGUUCACCACACCACACAGGUGGCUGAGCCUCACUUAGCACUACUGUUCUUCCCCCACUGCGGGAACCCUCCAUAAAUGCCAUAAACCUGCCGAGCCUUGCCCCUUGUGACAGGAUUCUAGGGCUUCCUGAGUGGGGCUGCAGGUUUCUUGGACCACAGUCCCUUAACUGGAGUUAAAGUACUUAAACUGGAAAGUGACCCUCCACUGCCCCCUGGAGCCACCUGGACACAGCAUUGCCCUAAUCUGGUUAGCAGCUGGCUGUUUCCAUGCCUGGGGAGGGG
ensembl:lncRNA